GAUGAACGCUAGCGACAGGCUUAACACAUGCAAGUCGAGGGGUAACAGGGUAGCAAUACCGCUGACGACCGGCGCACGGGUGAGUAACGCGUAUGCAACCUGCCUAUAACUGGGGAAUAGCUCCCUGAAAGGGGAAUUAACACCGCAUAAACACUAUUGACUUCGCAUGGAUUGGUAGUUAAAUGUAGCGAUACAGGUUAUAGAUGGGCAUGCGUGACAUUAGCUAGUUGGUGAGGUAACGGCUCACCAAGGCUACGACGUCUAGGGGUUCUGAGAGGAAGGUCCCCCACACUGGUACUGAGACACGGGACCAGACUCCUACGGGAGGCUAGCAGUGAGGAAUAUUGGUCAAUGGGCGCAAGCCUGAACCAGCCAUGUCGCGUGCAGGAAGACUGCCCUAAUGGGUUGUAAACUGCUUUUAUAGUUAGAAGAAACACAAUCUAACGUGUAGAUGUCUGCCAGUAUACUAUGAAUAAGCAUCGGCUAACUCCG
rnacentral:rRNA from 1 species